CGAAGUCUGGUGCCAGCAGCCGCGGUAAUUCCAGCUCCAAUAGCGUAUAUUAAAGUUGUUGCNGUUAAAAAGCUCGUAGUUGAAUUUCGGGAUCAAUACGUCGGUCGUGCUUCGGUACGUACUAACGUCAUUGAUUUCUCCCUUCUGACGAAUCGUGAUGUCAUUAAUUUGGUGUUACGGGGAGUUAGGACUGUUACUUUGAAAAAAUUAGAGUGUUUAAAGCAAGCAAUCGCUCGAAUACAUUAGCAUGGAAUAAUGAAAUAGGACGUUCGAACCUAUUUUGUUAGGUUUCUAGGAUUGACGUAAUGAUUAAUAGGGAUAGUUGGGGGCAUUAGUAUUCAAUUGUCAGAGGUGAAAUUCUUGGAUUUAUUGAAAACUAACUACUGCGAAAGCAUUUGCCAAGGAUGUUUUCAUUAAUCAAGAACGAAAGUUAGGGGGAUCGAAGACGAUCAGAUACCGUCGUAGUCUUAACCAUAAACUAUGCCGACUAGGGAUCGGAUGAUGUUAAUUUUAUAAUGACUCAUUCGGCGCCUUACG
rnacentral:rRNA from 1 species